rnacentral:lncRNA from 1 species
UAAAUUAUUAUUAUAUUAUCUUAAAUUAUUCCGUCCAGUAGCAAUCAAAAUGAAAAUUAAGCAUCUUUCCCAAAUUGGAAUACCUCAGUCCACACACAGGAAACAGACCUGUACUAAUACCAACUAGUAAACAUCCAGAAACUUAAGAAUACAUACAUUAGACAUUGUAAGUAUCUAAUGCAAUCCAAACACUAAAAGAAAGAAAAAUG